CCUACAGGCGCAGACACGCCCAUCUCCUCCGCUUCCCUGUGCCACAUGCUCAGCACUCUCUUGCUUAGAGCCACCACCACGGCGCCGGCGAUGGGUGGUGCUGCCGCUGCAAGCGACAUUCCGUUUCGCUUUGUCGCCUGUGACAUGGACGGCACCGUCCUCUCGCCGCACCACACCCUCAGCGAGUACACGGCAGAGACGCUGCGCCGACUAACGCAAGAUCACAACGUGCCCUGUAUCUUCGCUACUGGACGCGUCUACGCCGACGUGGCCGUCAUCAACCAAAACAUGCAGCGCUUUUUCCAGGAGCGUCGCCAGCAGCUGCCGCCGGUACCAGCCACCGCGUCGGCCCACACCCCUACCUACAUCAUCACGUCCAACGGGGCAGUCGUCCACGACGCCGAGACCGGCGAGCUAGUGCUUGAGCACGCCCUCGACCCAGCCGUCGUCCGUGAAAUCUAUCACCUGCUCCCGACCAGCGAGACGCGCAUCAACACUGGCAUCAUCCAAGGCGAGCACUGGUUCUACCGCAUGAACUGGGAAGAGAUGCUGCAGUUCCACAAGGAAUCGGGGUAUCGGUACCAGGUGCUGGAGCUCAUCCCCGACGGUGACGAUACGAAGGGCAUCGAAGCCACGAGCACGCCGACCGUCGCCUCGUCAGCCGCCGGCGGUAACCUCGACCAUGUGCACAAGAUCUUCUUCUCGAGCUGGAAUCCAACCCUACUGGAGAAGCUGGAGCAGGCGCUUCAGCAACGCUACGGCGACGACUUGACAGUGACCUUCUCAGCGCCCCACAAUGUUGAUAUCACCGCCAAAGGGGUGACAAAGGCGUGGGCCCUGGAGCGUCUCUACGCGCUAAUGGCGCCCUUGCCGCACGAGACGGCGUCAACGGCGACGCCAGCGCAGCGACUGAAGGCCACCGUCGCAUUCGGCGAUGACCUCAAUGAUGCCGCGAUGCUGAGCAGCGUGGGCCGCGGCUUCAUCAUGGGCAACUGCAGCCCGAAGCUUCGGCAGCAAUGCCCGGAGCUGGAGGUGAUUCAGACUAAUACCGAGGACGCUGUCGCCCGCAAGCUGCGCGAGGUGUUCCGCUUGGAAUAGCCCCCCACCCCUUCUUUUCCGAAAGGGGACGGACGGAAUAGAGGGGACAGAGCACUGGCGUAAGGUGCACCGACACAAAACACGGAGUAUCCUGCAUCCCUGUGCAGUUGCCGGAUGUGGUGCCGCGCGGCUCUUGCCGCUUGAGCGCACACAUCCAGAGCACCGGUUUCCUUACUCUCAUUUGCAGGCGUGUUUACGCCCCGAGUAGCCGAAGAGGGUGGCUGAUCGCCACCUCUCGGUCUCUCUUGCUCUCUAGUGGGAUGCCCGGACGUGUG
rnacentral:misc_RNA from 1 species